UACGAAGGGGGCUAGCGUUGCUCGGAAUUACUGGGCGUAAAGGGCGCGUAGGCGGCUUGGCAAGUGGAAGGUGAAAUCCCUCGGCUUAACCGAGGAACUGCCCUCCAAACUGCUUGGCUUGAGACCGGGAGAGGUGAGUGGAAUUCCCAGUGUAGCGGUGAAAUGCGUAGAUAUUGGGAGGAACACCAGUGGCGAAGGCGGCUCGCUGGGCCGGUCCUGACGCUGAGACGCGAAGGCGUGGGGAGCGAACGGG
rnacentral:rRNA from 1 species